rnacentral:lncRNA from 1 species
CUUGAGGACCACUGAUGCGUGUCAGUGCCAUUACUGAUCAUAUCCAAAUCUUUCUAAGAAAUGCUAUUUGUACGUCCAUAAAUGGAGUGUAAAUUAUAUGACUAUCCAUCUCAAAAUUUAAACAUCUUUUAUAUUUUAUAUUAAAAAAUUUGAUAAAAUUCAGUUUGCGACGGAGCCAGUGAAAUCAGUAUUUAAUUAAAGCAAUUAUUUUAAUGCUCUUUUGAAGGG